rnacentral:rRNA from 1 species
AGCCGCGGUAAUUCCAGCUCCAAUAGCGUAUAUUAAAGUUGUUGCCGUUAAAAAGCUCGUAGUUGAAGUUCUGGCUGUUCGAUCCUCGAGCUCUGUAGCCGAGGACUCGACAGUCAUCCGCUUGCAAAUAUAGUUCGUCUUUAACCGGAUGGCUAUAUGAGUAAGCAAUUUACCUUGAGAAAAACAGAGUGUUCCAGGCAGGUUUGUCCGGAAUGCAUUAGCAUGGAAUAAUAGAAUAUGACUGAAGUCGAUUUAUUGGUUUGAGGCUGUAGUAAUGAUUAAUAGGAAAAGUAGGGGGCAUUGGUAAAAGAAAGUCAGAGGAGAAAAUCUAGGAUAUGUCAAAGACUAAGAAAUGCGAAAGCAAAUGAAAAGGAUGUUUUCAUUAAUCAA